CCCUGAUGAAGGCACUUACUGUAACAAAGAAAAGAAAAAACAACACAAAGGUACUAACAUUGUACUUUUAAGCUAAUUGCAAGCCUGUAUUACCAGUAGGUCACUGAAGAAAGCACGUUACUUACCCAGUAAGUGUCGGUACUUGGAAGUAUGGCAAGACGGUACACUGUUUUUUCAGCACAGAUCAAAGUGGGGCAGCAGGUAGCCUAGCGGGGCGGCAGGUAGCCUAGUGGUAAGAGCGUUGGGCCAGUAACCGGAAGGUUGAUAGAUUGAAUCCCUGAGCUGCCAAGGUAAAAAUCUGUCGUUCUGCCCAUGAACAAGGCAGUUAACCCACUGUUCCUAGGCCGUCAAUGUAAAUAAGAAUUUGUUCUUUACUGACUUGCCUAGUUAAAUAAAACAUAAAAGCUGCAGGCUAAAUUUAAAUCUAGACUUUGUUUCCUCUAUUGUAAUCACUCCCCUUUCACCCCAGCUGCCGAACUAACCCCGAUUCAGAUGACCAUCCUACCCAUGCUAGAUUACGGAGACGUAAUUUAUAGAUCGGCAGCCCCUGUGUAACACUCGUCGUUGAAAGGGGACCAAAACGCAGCGGGAAACUUGAGGAGGCAGGUGAAGUGGAGGGCCGAAUGUAUCCCUGCCCCAGGGAUUCAGAGACAUAUGUUUCCAUAGCCGCCGUCUCUUCCUGUGACAGAGGAUACACAUGACUCGUGGGAAGUGCUGCGUCUACCAGG
rnacentral:lncRNA from 1 species